GCCAAUGAUACUACACCCAACAUUUGGAGGUGCAGAUGGCUCCAGGAUCCUGUUUACAGGAUGAACCUACCUGGAGGCGCUGUAUCCACAUGACAUUCAUGGGCAAGUUCUGAGGU